rnacentral:lncRNA from 1 species
GCAGCCUCUAUGAGUUUACUUUAUUAUGUUUACUUUACUUUAUUUACUUUAGUUUAGUUUAGUUUAGUUUAUUUAGUUUAGUUUAGUUUAGUUUAGUUUAUUUAGUUUAGUUUAGUUUAGUUUAGUUUAUUUAGUUUAGUUUAGUUUAGUUUAGUUUAGUUUAGUUUAGUUUGGGAGGAGCGAGCCGGAGAUCACUGCAGCUACACCGCAGAGAUGACAGAAGAAGAAGAACUGAGUGUUUCUGUUGGUUUUUAUUGAUGCACAGAUUUAAAGGCAGCUGGAUGAAAAUGUGCUGAGUGUGUGUGCAGCUUCACUCAGCUUCAGGUUUGAGUUUCACAAAGCAGACAGGAGCUAUAAAUGUCAGGGGGCGGGGCUUGUUGGAGGGCAGACGGCGCUGACGGACGGCAGCAGCUGGAGGUCAGCCGUGUGCUCGAGUCAUCAGAGGAAGAGAAGAAGAAGAAGAAGGAGAAGAAGAAGAAGAAGAGGCCAAAUCUCUGCAGCAGAAACACUGUAAAAAAGUCUGUAACAGCAAACAAAUAUGAAAUAAUGAAUCCAAGAACGGACAGAAGAGAAACAUUCUGAUGACAGGAGAGGAAGAGGAGGACGACGGGAGAAAGAGGAAGAAGAAGAAGAAGAGAUGAAAACAGACGAGAGGAGAAAUUCAUAAAGUAAAAAUCUGAAUGAAAAUCUGUCUUCAGGUGAUCGAUCACUGAUCACUGAUCACUGAUCACUGAUCACUGAUCAGUGAUCAGUGUAUUGAUGCGACCUUGCUGUGACCUCGCUGUGAACGUGGACUCGGCUCCUCUGCGACCCCUCCUGACUUCAGAUCAGAGCCACAUUUAGCCUCAGCUGCACUUUACUGCUGACAGCUGCUCUCAGAUCAGUUGAAUGUCUGCACGUCUCAACAAGAUGACGGUGCAGAAAGUUUGUGAUCUGCCUCCAUUAAUCACAUUAAUCAUGAGUGGGUCAUUAAUGAGGAACUUUGUGUUGUUUUAUAAAUAAUAUUCUCUCUAUUUGUGUUGAACAUCAUCUCUCCAUAUGUUCUUCAGACUGAUAUCAUUAUACUUGCAGUGUUUAGCUUCACCAGUCUGCUGAUACUGAUGUUAAUUAUUCAUUUAAGAUCACACUAACAUCUUUAAUUUGCCAUCAAUUUAAAAUUCCGUACUUUUUAAAUGCAGUCUGGUUUUGUGCACUUGGUUGAGUUUGUUACAGCAGUUAAAGUUACGAGACGUGUGAAGAAUAUAAAUGAUGUGUUCACGCUUCAGGUUUCUUUGUUUUGCACCUGUUUGUAUAAAACGCUCUGUAUUAAUAAAGUGUUGUUAUAAUUUAGUUUAUGAUUCUCUGGAGGUUAAAUUCUGAACACAGUUAAAGAAUCUUUGACAGGAACAACGUCACAUUUUAACACGUUUGUUCAUGUUGUUGUGUUUGUUUGUGUAAUGAACCAGUGAACUCGUGCUGACGGCUGAAGAGCCUGAAAGUCACUUCAGCUCCUGAAUCUACCAACAAACCUCCUGCAGCUUUUAUGACUCUCUGUGUUUUCACAGGCUGCAGGUUUAGUUUGCACUCAUUCAUUUAAACAUUUAAACCUUUUGGAUGAAUUAAAAAUAUCAAAAAUGUGUGUUUGUUGAAAGAAAUGCUGAUUUUCUGCACAAUCUGGUGUUUUUUAAUCAGAAUAUUUGCAUCAGUAACUUGUUGUUGUCACACGUGAGGACGAUGUUACGACGUCGUCACAGCUGAGCAGGAAGUGACUUCAAACAGGAAGUACCGAAAAAAUCAGCCGAUCAAAUGUUUCAAAUCAGGAAAACAUAAACUUUUAUAUUUAAAACGUGUAAUAAUCAGUUAUUUACUGUCAUAGUUUACUUUUCUGUCUGAAAAGAUUUAAUCAGAGUCAUUAAAGCUGGAAA